CAGUCGCCGCGGGAAUACGGAGGGGGCAAGCGUUGUCCGGAAUUAUUGGGCGUAAAGCGCGCGCAGGCGGUUUUUUAAGUCUGGUGUCUAAGUGCGGGGCUCAACCCCGUGACGCACUGGAAACUGGGAGACUUGAGUGCAGAAGAGGAGAGCGGAAUUCCACGUGUAGCGGUGAAAUGCGUAGAGAUGUGGAGGAACACCAGUGGCGAAGGCGGCUCUCUGGACUGUAACUGACGCUGAGGCGCGAAAGCGUGGGGAGCAAACAGGAUUAGAUACCCGCGUAGUCCCUGUCUCUUAUACA
rnacentral:rRNA from 1 species